rnacentral:rRNA from 1 species
CAAUAUCCGGCUCUAUACAACAUUGUGCGCCACAAGGGUGAUACUAUCGCCACGGUAAUGGAAUCAUUUCCGCCAAAUGUGACGUUCAGAAGAGAUUUAAUUGGACCCAAACUCCAAUCGUGUAACGUCCUGCUCCAGCGGUUAUCCACGGUGCACCUGUCACACGGGUCUGAUAUAUUUCGAUGGAACCUUCAUGGGAAUGGAAAUUCUCAGUGGUUUCUAUGUAUAGAGCGUUAA